rnacentral:rRNA from 1 species
UACGUAGGGGGCUAGCGUUGUCCGGAAUCAUUGGGCGUAAAGCGCGUGUAGGCGGCCCGAUAAGUCCGCUGUGAAAGUCCAGGGCUCAACCCUGGGAUGCCGGUGGAUACUGUCGGGCUCGAGUCCGGAAGAGGCGAGUGGAAUUCCUGGUGUAGCGGUGAAAUGCGCAGAUAUCAGGAGGAACACCAAUGGCGAAGGCGGUUCUCUGGGCCUGUACUGACGCUGAGGAGCGAAAGCGUGGGGAGCGAACAGG